rnacentral:rRNA from 1 species
AUUGAACGCUGGCGGCAGGCCUAACACAUGCAAGUCGAGCGGCAGCACAAGUAAGUUUACUUAUGAGGUGGCGAGCGGCGGACGGGUGAGUAAUGCCUAGGGAUCUGCCCAGUCGAGGGGGAUAACAGUUGGAAACGACUGCUAAUACCGCAUACGCCCUACGGGGGAAGGAGGGGGACCUUCGGGCCUCCCGCGAUUGGAUGAACCUAGGUGGGAUUAGCUAGUUGGUGAGGUAAUGGCUCACCAAGGCGACGAUCCCUAGCUGCUCUGAGAGGAUGAUCAGCCACACUGGGACUGAGACACGGCCCAGACUCCUACGGGAGGCAGCAGUGGGGAAUAUUGCACAAUGGGGGAAACCCUGAUGCAGCCAUGCCGCGUGUGUGAAGAAGGCCUUCGGGUUGUAAAGCACUUUCAGUAGGGAGGAAAGGGUGAGUCUUAAUACGGCUCAUCUGUGACGUUACCUACAGAAGAAGGACCGGCUAACUCCGUGCCAGCCGCCGCAGUAAAAC